UGGGGAAUAUUGGGCAAUGGACGAAAGUCUGACCCAGCGACGCCGCGUGAGGGAUGAAGAUCUUCGGAUUGUAAACCUUUGUCAACAGGGACGAAGCAAGUGACGGUACCUGUGGAGGAAGCAACGGCUAACUACGUGCCAGCAGCCGCGGUAAUACGUAGGUUGCAAGCGUUGUCCGGAUUUACUGGGUGUAAAGGGCGUGUAGGCGGAGAUGCAAGUUGGGAGUGAAAUGCAGGGGCUCAACCCCUGAACUGCUCUCAAAACUGUAUCCCUUGAGUAUCGGAGAGGCAAGCGGAAUUCCUAGUGUAGCGGUGAAAUGCGUAGAUAUUAGGAGGAACACCAGUGGCGAAGGCGGCUUGCUGGACGACAACUGACGCUGAGGCGCGAAAGCGUGGGGAGCAAACAGGAUUAGAUACCCUGGUAGU
rnacentral:rRNA from 1 species